ensembl:lncRNA
GCCAUUGCUGCCCUUGGAGAGAAGCUGACCCCUAUAUAGUGGGCAGUGCAGCUGAGCCAGCUCUGCCAGGCCCAGUGACAGUGGCAUGCCCACACCAACCUGUCCACACCUCCUCCUCAGCCAGAAGCCACAGGACAUGGAGGAGUAUUGUGGAUUCCAGUGUGGGUCAUCAGAGAAUUCAUGCUUCCUGAAGUCCAGGGUUCAUCUACAGACCUCAGCGACGAACAGAAAGGACCAUGGUACUUCCAGGGACCAGGUGCCAUGUACCAACCAAACACAGUGACUAGCACUGCUUCGUGUCAUGAGGAAACCCUCUGCAGUCAUCUCAGCAACAGAGAAACAGCAAGCCGAGUGAAAUUAAAAGGGACCACAGAAGCAACUGGGUGUCCAUGGAAGUUUGUAAGCAAGCAAGGAGCUAUUGAGGAGACAGUUCCUGAAGGCCCGUACCUCCAGUGACAUAGCUGGUCAGGAAGGAGCCACCUGAUAGUCUCUGAAGGUUAGCUAUUGGAAGAAUCCUGUGUGUUAUUACCAAACUUGAAUUCAUGUUUCUGGGCAUGACUGUUGGCCCUACAGCCAGAGCAGAGAUCCACUUCUCAGACUGAGCCCACAGAAUUCUCCACUCGAUGUACAGUGUACGGUUUUUAUCAUUUGCUCUUUCAAGAUGUCUCUUAAACAACAUGGCCAAAUCCUGAGUGGAACUGAGAACGUUUUCUCCUUUGACUGCUGCCUUCUUCCCCGCCAGUGCUCUUGUUAAGGACGUCCAGGCUAGCAGAGCAGAGAGCCCAGGGUCCCAAGGAGCCUCCUUUCUGAGAGUUCUGAUCCACUGCCCAUACUUCAAAA